rnacentral:rRNA from 1 species
GCGCAAUCCCUUGCCGUUUAAUUGACGGCCUGCAUCAAUGGCUUAACGAGCUUCCCGCUGUCUCGGACUGAUACCUAGUGAACUUAAUGUCCUGCGCACAUUCAGGAGUCCUCCAGUGGGACGAGAAAGUCUGACGGCUCUCAAUAAUUGAAUAAAGCCGUCUGGCCCUCGAAGACCCCGUGGAUCUUUACUACAGUCUGAUGUUGCGGUAUAGUAACGACUGUAUAGAGUAGGUG